rnacentral:rRNA from 1 species
GACGAACGCUGGCGGCGUGCCUAAUACAUGCAAGUCGAGCGGACGAAUCGAAAGCUUGCUUUUGAUUCGUUAGCGGCGGACGGGUGAGUAACACGUGGGCAACCUGCCCUGUAGACGGGGAUAACACCGAGAAAUCGGUGCUAAUACCGGAUAACACGAAAUGUCGCAUGACGUUUCGUUGAAAGACGGCGCAAGCUGUCGCUACAGGAUGGGCCCGCGGCGCAUUAGCUAGUUGGUGAGGUAACGGCUCACCAAGGCGACGAUGCGUAGCCGACCUGAGAGGGUGAUCGGCCACACUAGGACUGAGACACGGCCCAGACUCCUACGGGAGGCAGCAGUAGGGAAUCUUCCGCAAUGGACGAAAGUCUGACGGAGCAACGCCGCGUGAGCGAAGAAGGCCUUCGGGUCGUAAAGCUCUGUUGUUAGGGAAGAACAAGUAACGCAGUAACUGGCGUUACCGUGACGGUACCUAACGAGAAAGCCACGGCUAACUACGUG